ensembl:snRNA U6 U6 spliceosomal RNA
AUGUUUGCUUCAGCAGCAUAUAUAUUAAGAUUGAAAAGACACAGAGAAGAUUAGCAUGGCCCCUGUACAAGUAUGCCAUGCAAAUUUAUAAAGCAUUUCAUAAUAAA